rnacentral:misc_RNA from 1 species
AUGCUCCGGUGUAGCCAUUUUCAGGUAUAAUUUAAAGGAACAGGACGAGUUUGUUUGUAAAAGAAGAACAUUUUUGAUAUCAUUGAGUGAAAAAAAGUGAAAUGCCGGAAACCCUUUUGUUGUCGAGUCAGAUUCCUGAAAUAUCGACUAGAAGGAAGGAGAAUACGAAGGAAGUGGAUGAGGAGGAGAAAGAGAAGAUUCUAGAAUCAGCUACGACGACGACGACGACGACGACCCCGAGGUCAGUUAUCAUCAUUCCUCGGAGCAAAUCACAAGCAACAUCAAGGAGAGUUAUUCCGACGGAUGGUACAAUUUGUGCAGCGUCUGGUACAACUAGUACUAGCUCAAACGUUGGGGUAGUGGAAAAGCACCUUCCG